CCGAUCGAUGAUGAUGACCUCGUGGCAUAUAUUGUCAAUGGUCUUGAUGAAGAUUUUGAACCUGUUGUAUCCGCAAUUGUGGCUAAGAAUGAAUCUGUCAUAGUUGCUGAACUUCACUCACAACUUUUGGGCUUUGAAA